rnacentral:rRNA from 1 species
UACAGAGGUCUCAAGCGUUGCUCGGAAUCAUUGGGCGUAAAGCGCACGUAGGCGGCAUUCUAAGUCGGAUGUGAAAUCCCUCGGCUCAACCGAGGACGUGCAUCCGAAACUGGAACGCUCGAGUAUGGAAGAGGGUCGCGGAAUUCUCGGUGUAGAGGUGAAAUUCGUAGAUAUCGGGAGGAACACCAGUGGCGAAGGCGGCGACCUGGGCCAAUACUGACGCUGAGGUGCGAAAGCGUGGGGAGCAAACGGG